ACUUCUUGAAAUGACUAUGCAUUUUGUGCCUGAUCUUGUCUGAUCUUAGAAGCUAAGCAGGGUCAGGCCUGGUUAGUAUUUGAAUGGGAGGACCACUUAGGAAUACCAGGUGCUGUAGGUG
ensembl:rRNA 5S_rRNA 5S ribosomal RNA